CGCGUAGGCGGCUAGGCAAGUCAGAUGUGAAAGCCCCGGGCUUAACUCGGGAAUUGCAUCUGAAACUGCUGUGCUUGAGUCCUGGAGGGGGUAGUGGAAUUCCCAGUGUAGCGGUGAAAUGCGUAGAUAUUGGGAGGAACACCUGCGGCGAAGGCGGCUACCUGGACAGUGACUGACGCUGAUGCGCGAAAGCUAGGGGAGCAAACGGGAUUAGAUACCCCGGUAGUCCUAGCCGUAAACGAUGGGCACUUGGUGUCGGGGGUAUUGAGUCCCCCCGGUGCCGGAGUUAACACGUUAAGUGCCCCGCCUGGGGAGUACGGUCGCAAGACUGAA
rnacentral:rRNA from 1 species